UACGUAGGGGGCAAGCGUUGUCCGGAAUUAUUGGGCGUAAAGCGCGCGCAGGUGGUUCUUUAAGUCUGAUGUGAAAGCCCACGGCUCAACCGUGGAGGGUCAUUGGAAACUGGGGAACUUGAGUGCAGAAGAGGAAAGUGGAAUUCCACGUGUAGCGGUGAAAUGCGUAGAGAUGUGGAGGAACACCAGUGGCGAAGGCGACUUUCUGGUCUGUAACUGACACUGAGGCGCGAAAGCGUGGGGAGCGAACAGG
rnacentral:rRNA from 1 species